GGAGUGAGGGAGAUGAAAGAGAAAGGGUUAUGAGGAAUGAAAGAGGUGAGUAAGGGUUUAGGGGUUUCUUUUUUUUUUUUUUUUAGUUUUGAGAAUGAAAAUUAUUUAAAUAUCAUUGACCUUAAAACUUAGAAUCCAUGAUAAAUGGGGGUAUUUUUGUCUACUAUAAUCCGGUACACAUUGUUAAAACGUACCAACUGAAAAACGCG
rnacentral:lncRNA from 1 species